UGCAAGUCGAGCGGAAGGCCCUUCGGGGUACUCGAGCGGCGAACGGGUGAGUAACACGUGAGCAACCUGCCCUAGGCUUUGGGAUAACCCCGGGAAACCGGGGCUAAUACCGAAUAGGACCUCCGAUCGCAUGGUUGGGGGUGGAAAGUUUUUCGGCCUGGGAUGGGCUCGCGGCCUAUCAGCUUGUUGGUGGGGUGAUGGCCUACCAAGGCGACGACGGGUAGCCGGCCUGAGAGGGCGACCGGCCACACUGGGACUGAGACACGGCCCAGACUCCUACGGGAGGCAGCAGUGGGGAAUAUUGCACAAUGGGCGGAAGCCUGAUGCAGCGACGCCGCGUGAGGGAUGACGGCCUUCGGGUUGUAAACCUCUUUCAGCAGGGACGAAGCGUAAGUGACGGUACCUGCAGAAGAAGCGCCGGCCAACUACGUGCCAGCAGCCGCGGUAAGACGUAGGGCGCGAGCGUUGUCCGGAUUUAUUGGGCGUAAAGAGCUCGUAGGCGGCUUGUCGCGUCGACCGUGAAAACCUGGGGCUCAACCCCAGGCCUGCGGUCGAUACGGGCAGGCUAGAGUUCGGUAGGGGAGACUGGAAUUCCUGGUGUAGCGGUGAAAUGCGCAGAUAUCAGGAGGAACACCGGUGGCGAA
rnacentral:rRNA from 1 species